rnacentral:lncRNA from 1 species
AUGCAAUCACAGGUGGUGGGGCAAGGAAUGAUGUGGGUUUUGACUUUGGUAAGGAUUCCACCAAAGCAGCAGGAGACUGUCAAUGGAAAAGCACUUUGCCACUCGAUUCCUAAGCUCCUUUUAGCAUUUAAGUUGAGAUUUCACUUGGACUCAGACACCUUCUUUCAACUGUACAUGUUCCUCUACAGAGCUACUAACAUAUUUGAAAUCUUUUCACUAAUCCUGUGAAAAUAGAAAUGAUCCCAUAAGCAAAUAAUAAAAGCGAUGAAGGCUAAUGUUUUUGAAGGUUUUGUUUUGUUUUUAAAAUAAAAAAUUACUGUGAUACAGACAUUUUUAAACAGGGUUUCCCAUAUCACCAGCUGGUAUAAUUUGGUUGGAUGUCUCCAUUAAAUCAAUGGAGAAUCGAUUACCUGGUUUUAUGCUCAUAUCUUGUUCAUAGCAAAUGUAAUGGGAUUUGUUUCAUUUUAGUGAAAAGUUGUGGAAAAUAGGCUGAUUAGUUAUGUAAUGGGAAGAUCAUUUCAGUCUUCCUGCAGAAUGAGUAAUGGCGCUUUAAAAAUGUUCAGGUAAGGCUUGUGUAUGCUACAUAUAGAGGGUGGGGGAAAAGGGCUGCAAUGUGCAUGAGUUGUGAGCAUGGAAGCCAUAUUGAACUUGACAUCAUCUUUUUAGUGAAAGCUGUUUAGCUCUAGAGCCUCUCCUUUGCAUUUUGAGAGGAUUUUAGAAGAAUGUAUUAUUCAUAGUGAAAGAAUAGUUUAAAAGUCUUUUGUUUCUGAUGGAGGAUUAUGGGCACAAGCUUGCAUUUUUUUAAAUCCAUUUUAUGUUACACAGCAUUGCAAAAAAUGUCUUGUGGUUUGAACAGUGUAUUGAUUAUAAUCAAUCAGACAUUUGUCAUAGACUAAGGUAUGCCAUGUUUAGCAAAAACUGCAUUGACAGAUAGAGCAUAUUAAUGGAUCCUGGAAAUCUUGGCAUGUUAUUAGGCUGGCUUAGGUCUUUAAAUGUAAAGGAUGCUCUAUAAAUGUGCUGCCAUUCAAUAAACCAAUUUUUACAUUGAUUAUUAGAGAUAUAAUGGAGCAUGUUAUUAUAUUAAAUGUUGAGAAGAGUUAAAUAACAGAAAGUUUCAAGCAAUAUGGUCAUCAGAUAUUCAGCUGUUAAAACAACAUUUUUUUAUUGUGCUUUGGAUAAAGAAUUACAGUUUUGUUUGUGAAGUAAGCUUUGAAGCUGGUAAGGCUGAAAGUAGUUAAAGAAUCAUAUUGUGCAGGUUGCAAUUUUAACUUCCAGAUCAGAAAAAAAAAUCAGCUUUUAAUAAAGAGAAAAAUACCUUGAAAAAGUCCUUAUAUAAUCAGAACUUAUGCCUGUGCUAUUGUAACACUUAUUUUUUUCUCUUCUAUGUUUCAGAACCAAUAUAUUUUUUUCCAUUGGUAUGUGUAAUGAACCAUAGUUAAUAUAUGCUACUUAGCUUAAUCUCUCUGAAACUCAGCUUUUCAGUAUGAAAGAAAUGGGAGAGUAGGAGAAUGCAUAUAGACAAGGGAUAAAACAUGAAAAUAUAUUUAUGGCACCUGAGCCUCAGCUGUCAGUUCAUGUAUGAAGUAUAAGAUGGAACAGUAGGCUGGAUUUGGUUUUGCUGUUGACAUAUCACUUAGACUUCACAGAACCACAG